rnacentral:snRNA from 1 species
CUGCUUGCUUCAGCAACACAUUGGCACUAAAUUGGAACAUUAUAGAGAAGAUUAGCAUGGCCACUGCACAAGAAUGAUUUGCAAAUUCAUAAAGAGUUUCAUAUUUUU